rnacentral:rRNA from 1 species
AUUGAACGCUGGCGGCAGGCCUAACACAUGCAAGUCGAGCGGAUGAGAGGAGCUUGCUCCUUGAUUCAGCGGCGGACGGGUGAGUAAUGCCUAGGAAUCUGCCUGGUAGUGGGGGAUAACGUUCCGAAAGGAACGCUAAUACCGCAUACGUCCUACGGGAGAAAGCAGGGGACCUUCGGGCCUUGCGCUAUCAGAUGAGCCUAGGUCGGAUUAGCUAGUUGGUGAGGUAAUGGCUCACCAAGGCGACGAUCCGUAACUGGUCUGAGAGGAUGAUCAGUCACACUGGAACUGAGACACGGUCCAGACUCCUACGGGAGGCAGCAGUGGGGAAUAUUGGACAAUGGGCGAAAGCCUGAUCCAGCCAUGCCGCGUGUGUGAAGAAGGUCUUCGGAUUGUAAAGCACUUUAAGUUGGGAGGAAGGGCAGUAAGUUAAUACCUUGCUGUUUUGACGUUACCAACAGAAUAAGCACCGGCUAACUUCGUGCCAGCCGCCGCAGUAA